UUACUACUCCCUCCGAUUCUAAAUUGUUGUCGAAAUAUUACACGUAUGUAGACACCUUUUAAGAAUAGAUACAUCUAUAUUUAGGCAAAUUUGAGACAAGAAUUUAGAAUCGGAGGGAGUAAUAU
rnacentral:pre_miRNA from 1 species